AGUGCGGGUGCUACCAUGCAAGUCGAGCGGAGAUUAUAGCAAUGUAAUCUUAGCGGCGGACGGGUGAGUAACGCGUGGGCAACCUGCCUUUCACAGGGGGAUAACACAGGGAAACUUGUGCUAAUACCGCAUAAGAUCAUAGGAGGACAUCCUCCAGUGACCAAAGGAGCAAUCCGGUGAGAGAUGGGCCCGCGUCCAAUUAGCUAGUUGGUGGUGUAACGGACCACCAAGGCGACGAUUGGUAGCCGAACUGAGAGGUUGAUCGGCCACAUUGGGACUGAGAUACGGCCCAGACUCCUACGGGAGGCAGCAGUGGGGAAUAUUGCGCAAUGGGGGGAACCCUGACGCAGCAACGCCGCGUGAAGGAUGAAGGUUUUCGGAUCGUAAACUUCUUUGAUGAGGGACGAAAGAAAUGACGGUACCUCAAAAACAAGCCACGGCUAACUACGUGCCAGCAGCCGCGGUAAUACGUAGGUGGCGAGCGUUGUCCGGAAUUACUGGGUGUAAAGGGCGUGUAGGCGGGAAUGCAAGUCAGAUGUGAAAUACCGUGGCUUAACCACGGAGCUGCAUCUGAAACUGUGUUUCUUGAGUGUCGGAGAGGAAAGUGGAAUUCCCAGUGUAGCGGUGAAAUGCGUAGAUAUUGGGAGGAACACCAGUGGCGAAGGCGACUUUCUGGACGAUAACUGACGCUGAGGCGCGAAAGCGUGGGGAGCAAACAGGAUUAGAUACCCUGGUAGUCCACGCCGUAAACGAUGGAUACUAGGGUGUAGGAGGUAUCGACCCCUUCCUGUGCCGCAGUUAACACAAUAAGUAUCCCAAC
rnacentral:rRNA from 1 species